CUUGGUCCCCAGUCCACACUCUUUACCUAAGUAAAGUUGCCCCGUGGGCGAGAUAUGUACGAUGCUUGAAGGCCCCCGGAGUCAUCCGCGGGUUAACCAGCAGCCGUCGAUUUCAUUAUCAACGGUUCACAGAUCAAACGCAUAUCGUUCUCGUUGAAAAAGAAUUGAAAUAUGACCGAAUUCUGGGAGGAUAACUUCUAGCAUUUUAUGUUCCGUAGGUGAACCUGCGGAAGGAUCAUUA
rnacentral:rRNA from 1 species